CAGCGGUAAUACAGAGACCUCGAGCGUUAUCCGGAAUUAUUGGGCGUAAAGCGUGCGAAGGUGGUCCCUUAAGUUAUUGGUCAAAUCCCGAAGCUCAACUUCGGAUCGGCCCAUAAUACUGGGGGACUAGAGGGUGGAAGAGGCAAGCGGAAUUACCGGUGUAGCGGUAAAAUGCGUUAAUAUCGGUAGGAACACCAAAUGCGAAGGCAGCUUGCUGGUACACACCUGACACUGUUGCACGAAAGCGUGG
rnacentral:rRNA from 1 species